AUUGAACGCUGGCGGCAGGCCUAACACAUGCAAGUCGAACGGUAACAGGAAGAAGCUUGCUUCUUUGCUGACGAGUGGCGGACGGGUGAGUAAUGUCUGGGAAACUGCCUGAUGGAGGGGGAUAACUACUGGAAACGGUAGCUAAUACCGCAUAACGUCGCAAGACCAAAGAGGGGGACCUUCGGGCCUCUUGCCAUCGGAUGUGCCCAGAUGGGAUUAGCUAGUAGGUGGGGUAACGGCUCACCUAGGCGACGAUCCCUAGCUGGUCUGAGAGGAUGACCAGCCACACUGGAACUGAGCCACGGUCCAGACUCCUACGGGAGGCAGCAGUGGGGAAGAUUGCACAAUGGGCGCAAGCCUGAUGCAGCCAUGCCGCGUGUAUGAAGAAGGCCUUCGGGUUGUAAAGUACUUUCAGCGGGGAGGAAGGGAGUAAAGUUAAUACCUUUGCUCAUUGACGUUACCCGCAGAAGAAGCACCGGCUAACUCCGUG
rnacentral:rRNA from 1 species